CAGCACCUCAAGUGGUCAGGAUGAUUAUUGGGCCUAAAGCAUCCGUAGCCGGCGCUGUAAGUUUUCGGUUAAAUCCAUACGCUUAACGUAUGGGCUGCCGGGAAUACUGCAGAGCUAGGAAGUGGGAGAGGUAGACGGUACUCGGUAGGAAGGGGUAAAAUCCUUUGAUCUAUUGAUGACCACCUGUGGCGAAGGCGGUCUACCAGAACACGUUCGACGGUGAGGGAUGAAAGCUGGGGGAGCAAACCGGAUUAGAUACCCGCGUAGUCC
rnacentral:rRNA from 1 species